CGCCGGACUCGGAAUGGCCCCAGACUUUGCGGGCGGCCUCCGUGUGCCCAAAAUAGGCCACGGGCACAGCCGCGCCCAAAAAUCAGCCCCCGAAGGUCGGGGCGCCAAGACCCCCCAGCGGAAAAAUGGCCAAAAAACGGGUGGGCUAUAGCCUUGGUGGGGGGCGUGGGCGAAGUUCUUCCGCCUGACUCGGAAUGGUCCCAGACUUUGCGGGCGGCCUACGUGUGCCAAAAAUAGGCCACGGGCACAGCCGCGCCCAAAAAUCAGCCCCUGAAGGUCGGGGCGCCAAGACCCCCCAGCGGAAAAAUGGCCAAAAAACGGUUGGGCUAUAGCCUUGGUGGGGGGCGUGGGCGAAGUUCGUCCGCCGGACUCGGAAUGGCCCCAGACUUUGCGGGCGGCCUCCGUGUGCCAAAAAUAGGCCACGGGCACAGCCGUUCCCAAAAAUCAGCACCCGAAUGUCGGGGCGCCAAGACCCCCCAGCGGAAAAAUGGCCAAAAAACGGGUGGGCUAUAGCCUUGGUGGGGGGCGUGGGCGAACUUCGUCCGCCGGACUCGGAAUGGCCCCAGACUUUGCGGGCGGCCUCCGUGUGCCAAAAAUAGGCCACGGGCACAGCCGCGCCCAAAAAUCAGCCCCCGAAUGUCGGGGCGCCAAUACACCCCAGCGGAAAAAUGGCAAAAAAACGGGUGGGCUAUAGCCUUGGUGGGGGGUGUGGGCGAAGUUCGUCCGCCGGACUCGGAAUGGCCCCAGACUUUGCGGGCGGCCUCCGUGUGCCAAAAAUAGGCCACGGCCACAGCCGCGCCCAAAAUCAGCCCCCGUAAGUUGUGGUGCCAAGGCAACCCCCGCGGAAAAAUCGCCAAAAACGGGUGGGCUAUACCCUGGUGGGGGGUGUGGGCGAAGUUCGUCCGCCGCACUCGGAAUGGCCCCAGACUUUGCGGGCGGACUCCGUGUGCCAAAAAUAGGCCACGGGCACAGCCGCGCCCAAAAAUCAGCCCCCGAAGGUCGGGGUGCCAAGACCCCCCAGCGGAAAAAUGGCCAAAAAACGGGUGGGCUAUAGCCUUGGUGGGGGGCGUGGGCGAAGUUCGUCCGCCGGGCUCGGAAUGGCCCCAGACUUUGCGGGCGGCCUCCGUGUGCCAAAAUUAGGCCACGGCCACAGCCGCGCCCAAAAAUCAGCCCCCGAAGGUCGGGGCGCCAAGACCCCCCAGCUGAAAAAUGGCCAAAAAACGGGUGGGCUAUUGCCUUGGUGGGGGGCGUGGGCGAAGUUCGUCCGCCGGACUCGGAAUGGCCCCAGACUUUGCGGGCGGCCUCCGUGUGCCCAAAAUAGGCCACGGGCACAGCCGCGCCCAAAAAUCAGCCCCCGAAGGUCGGGGCGCCAAGACCCCCCAGCGGAAAAAUGGCCAAAAAACGGGUGGGCUAUAGCCUUGGUGGGGGGCGUGGGCGAAGUUCGUCCGCCGGAUUCGGAAUGGCCCCAGACUUUGCGGGCGGCCUCCGUGUGCCAAAAAUAGGCCACGGGCACAGCCGCGCCCAGAAAUCAGCCCCCGAAUGUCGGGGCGCCAAGACACCCCAGCGGAAAAAUGGCCAAAAAAUGGGUGGGCUAUAGCCUUGGUGGGGGGCGUGGGCGAACUUCGUCCGCCGCACUCGGAAUGGCCCCAGACUUUGCAGGCGGCCUCCGUGUGCCAAAAAUAGGCCACGGGCUCAGCCACGCCCAAAAAUCAGCCCCCGAAGGUCGGGGUGCCAAGACCCCCCAGCGUAAAAAUGGCCAAAAAACGGGUGGGCUAUAGCCUUGGUGGGGGGCGUGGGCGAAGUUCGUCCGCCGGGCUCGGAAUGGCCCCAGACUUUGCGGGCGGCCUCCUUGUGCCAAAAUUAGGCCACGGCCACAGCCGCGCCCAACAAUCAGCCCCCGAAGGUCGGGGUGCCAAGACCCCCCAGCGGAAAAAUGUCCAAAAAACGGGUGGGCUAUAGCCUUGGUGGGGGGCGUGGGCGAAGUUCGUCCGCCGGGCUCGGAAUGGCCCCAAACUUUGCGGGCGGUGUCCGUGUGCCAAAAUUAGGCCACGGCCACAGCCGCGCCCAAAACCCAGCCCCCAAAGGUCGGGGCGCCAAGAUCCCCCAGUGGAAAAAUGGCCAAAAAACGGGUGGGCUACAGCCUUGGUGGGGGGCGUGGGCGAAGUUCGUCCGCCGGACUCAGAAUGGCCCCAGACUUUGCGGGCGGCCUCCGUUUGCCCAAAAUAGGCCACGGGCACAGCCGCGCCCAAAAAUCAGCCCCCGAAGGUCGGGGCGCCAAGACCCCCCAGCGGAAAAAUGGCCAAAAAACGGGUAGGCUAUAGCCUUGGUGGGGGGCGUGGGCGAAGUUCGUCCGCCGGACUCGGAAUGGCCCCAGACUUUGCGGGCGGCCUCCGUGUGCCCAAAAUAGGCCACGGGCACAGCCGCGGCCAAAAAUCAGCCCCCGAAGGUCGGGGCGCCAAGACCCCCCAGCGGAAAAAUGGCCAAAAAACGGGUGGGCUAUAGCCUUGGUGGGGGGCGUGGGCGAAGUUCGUCCGCCGGACUCGGAAUGGCCCCAGACUUUGCGGGCGGCCUCCGUGUGCCAAAAAUAGGCCACGGGCACAGCCGCGCCCAAAAAUCAGCCCCCGAAGGUCGGGGCGCCAAGACCCCCCAGCGGAAAAAUGGGCAACAAACGGGUGGGCUAUAGCCUUGGUGGGGGGCGUGGGCGAAGUUCGUCCGCGGGACUCGGAAUGGCACCAGACUUGGCGGGCGGCCUCCGUGUGCCAAAAAUAGGCCACGGGCACAGCCGCGCCCAAAAAUCAGCCCCCGAAGGUCGGGGUCCCAAGACCCCCCAGCGGAAAAAUGGCCAAAAAACCGGUGGGCUAUAGCCCUGGUGGGGGGCGUGGGCGAAGUUCGUCCGCGGGACUCGGAAUGGCACCAGACUUGGCGGGCGGCCUCCGUGUGCCAAAAAUAGGCCACGGGCACAGCCGCGCCCAAAAAUCAGCCCCCGAAGGUCGGGGUCCCAAGACCCCCCAGCGGAAAAAUGGUCAAAACACCGGUGGGCUAUAGCCUUGGCGGGCGGCCUCCGUGUGCCAAAAAUAGGCCACGGGCACAGCCGCGCCCAAAAAUCAGCCCCCGAAGGUCGGGGUCCCAAGACCCCCCAGCGGAAAAAUGGUCAAAACACCGGUGGGCUAUAGCCUUGGUGGGGGGCGUGGGCGAAGUUCAUCCGCGGGACUCGGAAUGGCGCCAGACUUGGCGGGCAGCCUCUGUGUGCCAAAAAUAGGCCACGGGCACAACCGCGCCCAAAAAUCAGCCCCCGAAGGUCGGGGUCCCAAGACCCCCCAGCGGAAAAAUGGCCAAAAAACGGGUUGGCUAUAGCCUUGGUGGGCGGCGUGGGCGAAGUUCGUCCGCGGGACUCGGAAUGGCACCAGACUUGGCGGGCGGCCUCCGUGUGCCAAAAAUAGGCCACGGGCACAGCCGCUCCCAAAAAUCAGCCCCCGAAGGUCGGGGUCCCAAGACCCCCCAGCGGAAAAAUGGCCAAAAAACGGGUGGGCUAUAGCCUUGGUGGGCGGCGUGGGCGAAGUUCGUCCGCGGGACUCGGAAUGCCACCAUACUUGGCGGGCGGCCUCCGUGUGCCAAAAAUAGGCCACGGGUACAGCCGCGCCCAAAAAUCAGCCCCCGAAGGUCGGGGUCCCAAGACCCCCCAGCGGAAAAAUGGCCAAAAAAAGGGUGGGCCAUAGCCUUGGCGGGGGGCAUGGGCGAAAUUCGUCCGCGGGACUCGGAAUGGCACCAGACUUGGCAGGCGGCCUCCGUGUGCCAAAAAUAGCCCACGGGCACAGCCGCUCCCAAAAAUCAGCCCCCGAAGGUCGGGGUCCCAAGACCCCCCAGCGGAAAAAUGGCCAAAAAAAGGGUGGGCUAUAGCCUUGGCGGGGGGCGUGGGCGAAGUUCGUCCGCCGGACUCGUAAUGGCCCCAGACUUGGCGGGCGGCCUCUGUGUGCCAAAAAUUGGCCACGGGCACAGCCGCGCCCAAAAAUCAGCCCCCGAAGGUCGGGGUCCCAAGACCCCCCAGCGGAAAAAUNNNNNNNNNNNNNNNNNNNNNNNNNNNNNNNNNNNNNNNNNNNNNNNNNNNNNNNNNNNNNNNNNNNNNNNNNNNNNNNNNNNNNNNNNNNNNNNNNNNNNNNNNNNNNNNNNNNNNNNNNNNNNNNNNNNNNNNNNNNNNNNNNNNNNNNNNGGGUCCCAAGACCCCCCAGCGGAAAAAUGGCCAAAAAAAGGGUGGGCUAUAGUCUUGGUGGGGGGCGUGGGCGAAGUUCGUCCGCGGGACUCGGAAUGGCCCCAGACUUGGCAGGCGGCCUCCGUGUGCCAAAAAUAGUCCACGGACACAACCGCUCCCAAAAAUCAGCCCCCGAAGGUCGGGGUCCCAAGACCCCCCAGCGGAAAAAUGGCCAAAAAAAGGGUGGGCUAUAGCCUUGGUGGGGGGCGUGGGCGAAGUUCGUCCGCCGGACUCGUAAUGGCCCCAGACUUGGCGGGCGGCCUCCGUGUGCCAAAAAUAGCCCACGGGCACAGCCGCUCCCAAACAUCAGCCCCCGAAGGUCGGGGUCCCAAGACCCCCCAGCGGAAAAAUGGCCAAAAAACGGGUGGGCUAUAGCCUUGGUGGGCGGCGUGGGCGAAGUUCGUCCGCGGGACUCGGAAUGGUCCCAGACUUGGCGGGCGGCCUCUGUGUGCCAAAAAUAGCCCACGGGCACAGCCGCUCCCAAAAAUCAGCCCCCGAAGGUCGGGGUCCCAAGACCCCCCAGCGGAAAAAUGGCCAAAAAACGGGUGGGCUAUAGCCUUGGCGGGGGGCGUGGGCGAAGUUCGUCCGCCGGACUCGUAAUGGCCCCAGACUUGGCGGGCGGCCUCCGUGUGCCAAAAAUAGCCCACGGGCACAGCCGCUCCCAAACAUCAGCCCCCGAAGGUCGGGGUCCCAAGACCCCCCAGCGGAAAAAUGGCCAAAAAACGGGUGGGCUAUAGCCUUGGCGGGGGGCGUGGGCGAAGUUCGUCCGCCGGACUCGUAAUGGCCCCAGACUUGGCGGGCGGCCUCCGUGUGCCAAAAAUAGCCCACGGGCACAGCCGCUCCCAAACAUCAGCCCCCGAAGGUCGGGGUCCCAAGACCCCCCAGCGGAAAAAUGGCCAAAAAACUGGUGGGCUAUAGCCUUGGUGGGGGGCGUGGGCGAAGUUCGUCCGCCGGGCUCGGAAUGGCCCCAAACUUUGUGGGCGGCGUCCGUGUGCCAAAAUUAGGCCACGGCCAAAGCCGCGCCCAAAACCCAGCCCCCAAAAGUCGGGGCGCCAAGACCCCCCAGUGGAAAAAUGGCCAAAAAACGGGUGGGCUA
rnacentral:lncRNA from 1 species